AGACCCGAAACCCGGUGAUCUAGCCAUGGGCAGGUUGAAGGUUGGGUAACACUAACUGGAGGACCGAACCGACUAAUGUUGAAAAAUUAGCGGAUGACCUGUGGCUGGGGGUGAAAGGCCAAUCAAACCGGGAGAUAGCUGGUUCUCCCCGAAAGCUAUUUAGGUAGCGCCUCGUGAAUUCAUCUCCGGGGGUAGAGCACUGUUUCGGCUAGGGGGCCAUCCCGGCUUACCAACCCGAUGCAAACUGCGAAUACCGGAGAAUGUUAUCACGGGAGACACACGGCGGGUGCUAACGUCCGUCGUGAAGAGGGAAACAACCCAGACCGCCAGCUAAGGUCCCAAAGUCAUGGUUAAGUGGGAAACGAUGUGGGAAGGCCCAGACAGCCAGGAUGUUGGCUUAGAAGCAGCCAUCAUUUAAAGAAAGCGUAAUAGCUCACUGGUCGAGUCGGCCUGCGCGGAAGAUGUAACGGGGCUAAACCAUGCACCGAAGCUGCGGCAGCGACACUGUGUGUUGUUGGGUAGGGGAGCGUUCUGUAAGCCG
rnacentral:rRNA from 1 species